UACGUAGGGGGCUAGCGUUGUCCGGAAUCAUUGGGCGUAAAGCGCGUGUAGGCGGUUCGGUAAGUCCGCUGUGAAAGUCGGGGGCUCAACCCUCGAAUGCCGGUGGAUACUGUCGGGCUAGAGUGCGGAAGAGGCGAGUGGAAUUCCUGGUGUAGCGGUGGAAUGCGCAGAUAUCAGGAGGAACACCGGUGGCGAAGGCGGGUCUCUGGGCAGUAACUGACGCUGGAGGAGCGAAAAGCCGUGGGGAGCGAACAGG
rnacentral:rRNA from 1 species